rnacentral:lncRNA from 10 species
CUGGAUUCAGGAACAGACAACUGGUAAAACGUUACUUCUGGCUGUAUCAGUGGGGGCUUCCAGAGAAGACUGGUGUGUGACUCAGUGGACUGAGUGAGGAAGAUUCACCUUCAAUGUAGGUAAAAGAAAUGCCCAAAAUAUCACUGGCUUAAAAAUCAACAUGAAAGAAGUUCCCUGGCUGACUAUCCCAGGUUUAUCACGCUUCCAGAGCUAAGAACCAAACUUAUUUUACUUAUUUUCUCUUGUUGCUCUGUGCUCCUCAGUACAUAGCUUCCAACUCAUGUCUUUAGAGGGCUGCUUGAACACAAGUCAUCCUAUUAACAUUCCAGCCAGAAGAAAGGAGGAAGAUAAGAAUAAGAAUAAAAAUCCUUCCUUUAAGAACAUUUCUCAG